GUCUUCAGGGCAGGGUGAAAUUCCCGAUCGGCGGUACAGUCCGCGAGCAGCGAUGCAGAACCGGUGCGAUUCCGGUACCGACAGUUACAGUCUGGAUGGAAGAAGACG
rnacentral:ncRNA from 1 species